rnacentral:rRNA from 1 species
AUGAACGCUGGCGGCGUGCCUCAUACAUGCCAGUCGAGCGAACAGAUAAGGAGCUUGCUCCUUUGACGUUAGCGGCGGACGGGUGAGUAACACGUGGAUAACCUACCUAUAAGACUGGGAUAACUUCGGGAAACCGGAGCUAAUACCGGAUAACAUAUUGAACCGCAUGGUUCAAUAGUGAAAGGCGGCUUUGCUGUCACUUAUAGAUGGAUCCGCGCCGUAUUAGCUAGUUGGUAAGGUAACGGCUUACCAAGGCAACGAUACGUAGCCGACCUGAGAGGGUGAUCGGCCACACUGGAACUGAGACACGGUCCAGACUCCUACGGGAGGCAGCAGUAGGGAAUCUUCCGCAAUGGGCGAAAGCCUGACGGAGCAACGCCGCGUGAGUGAUGAAGGUCUUCGGAUCGUAAAACUCUGUUAUCAGGGAAGAACAAAUGUGUAAGUAACUGUGCACAUCUUGACGGUACCUGAUCAGAAAGCCACGGCUAACUACGUG